UUUUAAAAAAGAAUAGUGAAUAUAAAUUACAAAUUCUCAGAUCUUAUUACUCUUUUCUUUAUUGAUUUUUUUUCCCGAUUCCCUCGUUUUCCAUUGUCUCUCUCUAUUGUUUUUUAUUCUUAAAAUGAUUCAAAGCCAGGCGAAAUUCUGCGGCCACCGGCGGGAAGACAGGCGUUACAGUUGUAGUCGUCGGAGACCGUGCAACAGAAAAAUCGAGUUUGAUUGCGGCAGCAUCCACCGAAUCUUUCCAGGAAAACGUAUCUCCUUCCACCCACUCGCCUUCCCGCUGAUUUCAUCACCGAUCGCGUUCCUAUCACUAUCAUCGACACUUCUGCUAGUCCUUGGGUUGAGGCUCCUUACAAGGAUGCUGCAGAGAGAACCACAAUGGGAAAUUUGACUCUCGAUGGGUUUCUUUCCGAGCGGGCUCCUAUGACCAUUCUGGAUCCACGAGCUAGUUGUAAAUGCAAAUUAUUUUUCAAUGUGUUUAUAUCAUCUGAUAUCAAGGAGGAUGUGCUGGGUCACCUUCAUCAAGGUGUCUUACACUUGAGCUGUAUGGUCCUCUUUUUCAUGCAGUUGUCCUUGCAGAGGGAUAAGGAGACUCAUAUUUUGCGAGAGAUACCUGAAGAUAGUGAAAAAAUUGCAAUCCAAUAAAGAAUCUCUGGCAUCCUUUGAUGUUGCUGUGCUUGCUUGUGACAGUUAAGUUUGACUGAUGAUAUUAAGCAAGUUUGACUUCCUUGUAUAUAUUGGUAGUCAAGUAGCCAGUUGAUGAUCUCAUUUAUCACCAUAUAUUAUGUCUGUCACAAUUAAAUGUACUUCGAUUGGUGCAUGCUAUCUUCGUUUUACCAAAUUCUUUAACUUUUGCCUCUGAGCCUGCCUGUGCACAUACCUUUUAAGUGUAUGAAUGGUGUUCGAUUUUUCUUUUAAGGAUUAGAAAUAUACUAUUGGAAAUAGUUUCUCCUUUUGUACUUGUUAAAUAUAUAGAUAUCAUGGCAUGACAAAUGAUUCCUAUUUCCAGUUCGGAUGAAUAUUCAUGGAAAAGGUCAAGUGAACUUCUUGUAGAGGUUGCUAGGCACGGAGAGGAAAGUGGUCACGAGGUGCCUAGUCUCAUUGUUGCUGCAAAGGAUGCCUUGGAUCCGCAUCCAAUGAGUGUGCAAAAUUCAGUGAGGGUUUGCCAAGAGUUAGGAUUUUAAGCGCAGCUGAAUGGGAUUUGAACAUUCCUGAAACUGUAGCUGGGAGGAGACGCAAGCAGUUCCGCUGGCUUGUCAACCACUCCCUUCUGCUUAUGUCAGUGGUCGUAGCUUUUGGUGUUGUUGGAAGGGCAGCACUGCGUGCCUACAAUCCUUUCAAUCACAUUGCAGCCAAUCCCCUUAUAAUUCAUGUUCUGAUUUUUUCCUAUUUAUAACUUUGGCGAGCCACAAGCAUUUUCCCGUUUGCUAGGCUCUGUUGAAGUCCUCCCGAUUAUGGAGCCUGCCACCUUCGGUCCGAUCACCCAUUGAAUAUAAAUUGAAUCCAAAAGGUCGAAAAUCAGCUCGUUCAUGCGCACUUUCCCUAUGGAUGUGUGAAGAGCAUAGCUGUCUUACCCUAUCCCAGAUCCUUGGGCAAAUGGUUCAACUACUUAGAUCCUAUUUAUUUUUGGAUUUUAAAAGUUCUUUUGAAAAAAAAAUAUUUUUUUA